rnacentral:rRNA from 1 species
UACGUGAGUGUCAAGCGUUAUCCGGAAUUACUGGGCGUAAAGGGUCCGCAGGGGGCGGUUCAAGUACAAUGUUAAAUCUAUGGGCUCAACCCAUAAGCUGCGUUGUAUACUGUUCCGCUAGAGGUAUGAAGAGGUGAAUGGAAUUUCCGGAGUAGGGGUAAUAUCCGUAGAUACCGGAAGGAACACCAAUAGCGAAGGCAAUUCACUGGUCAUCACCUGACCCUCAGGGACGAAAGCGUGGGGAGCGAACCGG